rnacentral:rRNA from 1 species
GUGACUGCGUACCUUUUGUAUAAUGGGUCAGCGACUUAUAUUCUGUAGCAAGGUUAACCGAAUAGGGGAGCCGAAGGGAAACCGAGUCUUAACUGGGCGUUAAGUUGCAGGGUAUAGACCCGAAACCCGGUGAUCUAGCCAUGGGCAGGUUGAAGGUUGGGUAACACUAACUGGAGGACCGAACCGACUAAUGUUGAAAAAUUAGCGGAUGACUUGUGGCUGGGGGUGAAAGGCCAAUCAAACCGGGAGAUAGCUGGUUCUCCCCGAAAGCUAUUUAGGUAGCGCCUCGUGAAUUCAUCUCCGGGGGUAGAGCACUGUUUCGGCAAGGGGGUCAUCCCGACUUACCAACCCGAUGCAAACUGCGAAUACCGGAGAAUGUUAUCACGGGAGACACACGGCGGGUGCUAACGUCCGUCGUGAAGAGGGAAACAACCCAGACCGCCAGCUAAGGUCCCAAAGUCAUGGUUAAGUGGGAAACGAUGUGGGAAGGCCCAGACAGCCAGGAUGUUGGCUUAGAAGCAGCCAUCAUUUAAAGAAAGCGUAAUAGCUCACUGGUCGAGUCGGCCUGCGCGGAAGAUGUAACGGGGCUAAACCAUGCACCGAAGCUGCGGCAGCGACACUGUGUGUUGUUGGGUAGGGGAGCGUUCUGUAAGCCUGUGAAGGUGUGCUGUGAGGCAUGCUGGAGGUAUCAGAAGUGCGAAUGCUGACAUAAGUAACGAUAAAGCGGGUGAAAAGCCCGCUCGCCGGAAGACCAAGGGUUCCUGUCCAACGUUAAUCGGGGCAGGGUGAGUCGACCCCUAAGGCGAGGCCGAAAGGCGUAGUCGAUGGGAAACAGGUUAAUAUUCCUGUACUUGGUGUUACUGCGAAGGGGGGACGGAGAAGGCUAUGUUGGCCGGGCGACGGUUGUCCCGGUUUAAGCGUGUAGGCUGGUUUUCCAGGCAAAUCCGGAAAAUCAAGGCUGAGGCGUGAUGACGAGGCACUACGGUGCUGAAGCAACAAAUGCCCUGCUUCCAGGAAAAGCCUCUAAGCAUCAGGUAACAUCAAAUCGUACCCCAAACCGACACAGGUGGUCAGGUAGAGAAUACCAAGGCGCUUGAGAGAACUCGGGUGAAGGAACUAGGCAAAAUGGUGCCGUAACUUCGGGAGAAGGCACGCUGAUAUGUAGGUGAAGUCCCUCGCGGAUGGAGCUGAAAUCAGUCGAAGAUACCAGCUGGCUGCAACUGUUUAUUAAAAACACAGCACUGUGCAAACACGAAAGUGGACGUAUACGGUGUGACGCCUGCCCGGUGCCGGAAGGUUAAUUGAUGGGGUCAGCGCAAGCGAAGCUCUUGAUCGAAGCCCCGGUAAACGGCGGCCGUAACUAUAACGGUCCUAAGGUAGCGAAAUUCCUUGUCGGGUAAGUUCCGACCUGCACGAAUGGCGUAAUGAUGGCCAGGCUGUCUCCACCCGAGACUCAGUGAAAUUGAACUCGCUGUGAAGAUGCAGUGUACCCGCGGCAAGACGGAAAGACCCCGUGAACCUUUACUAUAGCUUGACACUGAACAUUGAGCCUUGAUGUGUAGGAUAGGUGGGAGGCUUUGAAGUGUGGACGCCAGUCUGCAUGGAGCCGACCUUGAAAUACCACCCUUUAAUGUUUGAUGUUCUAACGUGGACCCGUGAUCCGGGUUGCGGACAGUGUCUGGUGGGUAGUUUGACUGGGGCGGUCUCCUCCUAAAGAGUAACGGAGGAGCACGAAGGUUGGCUAAUCCUGGUCGGACAUCAGGAGGUUAGUGCAAUGGCAUAAGCCAGCUUGACUGCGAGCGUGACGGCGCGAGCAGGUGCGAAAGCAGGUCAUAGUGAUCCGGUGGUUCUGAAUGGAAGGGCCAUCGCUCAACGGAUAAAAGGUACUCCGGGGAUAACAGGCUGAUACCGCCCAAGAGUUCAUAUCGACGGCGGUGUUUGGCACCUCGAUGUCGGCUCAUCACAUCCUGGGGCUGAAGUAGGUCCCAAGGGUAUGGCUGUUCGCCAUUUAAAGUGGUACGCGAGCUGGGUUUAGAACGUCGUGAGACAGUUCGGUCCCUAUCUGCCGUGGGCGCUGGAGAACUGAGGGGGGCUGCUCCUAGUACGAGAGGACCGGAGUGGACGCAUCACUGGUGUUCGGGUUGUCAUGCCAAUGGCACUGCCCGGUAGCUAAAUGCGGAAGAGAUAAGUGCUGAAAGCAUCUAAGCACGAAACUUGCCCCGAGAUGAGUUCUCCCUGACCCUUUAAGGGUCCUGAAGGAACGUUGAAGACGACGACGUUGAUAGGCCGGGUGUGUAAGCGCAGCGAUGCGUUGAGCUAACCGGUACUAAUGAACCGUGAGGCUUAACCUUACAACGCCGAAGGUGUUU